AAACCAAAGGCUAUAAAAUAAAUAAAUACUAUUUUUCCCACAGACAGAGAGAGACAGAGAGAGAGAGAGAGAGAGAGAGAGCUUGCACUCUUUCAUCCAGGCUUUUAUUAAUUAAGAAUAUUAAUGUCGUUGUUUAGCUGCGAACGUAAAUGCUUCCCAGUAGGUAAUUCAGUCUGUCUCCUGCUUUCUCACAAGCAGAAUAGGGCUCUCUUAACAGUAAAGUUGAGCAAAUCAAUCUUUGAGCUGAAGAAGAUUUUCACUAAUUGGACUGCUUGUCGUUUGGGACCACACCAAUUAUGCCCACCGAUACUAAUGCAUUAUGGUACUGUAGAUUCGUAUAAAUCUGGCAUCUGGCCUCACUCUACCUACUGAAAUUUGCCUAAACCAAAACCCUAUAUUCAAUAACAAACCCUACUAUCCUAUCGUCUUGGUUUACACACAAAAUUAAUCUCUUUAAGAUGCUUCUCUCUCUCUCUCUCUCUCCCCUGCGUCUCUGACUGAGUAGCUAGAUUCUCUUGCUUCUUGUUUUGCUCAUGUGAGGUCAUAAAGAGCAGUGUCCGGCAGAGCUCAGCUGAUGAAGAAGCUACGAUUUUUCGCACUUCAUAAGUGCCAAAGCAGAGGCUCUCUUGCAAGCAGGUACGGUAAUGUGGUCAUUCCCUCCCUACCCUCUUCUGAAAUUGGCUUACUUUUAAGGCAUGCUUGGUAAAAUCUGUUAAAUUCCAUGAAUUUGAACUGUUUUUUGAGGUUUUAUAUAGGCAGGCUUGGUUUUAGAUUUCUUCUUACGUUUGUUUGGUGUACGAUACACAAGAGACAUGGUUGUUUCCUAAGGUAACAUGAGAAUCCGAGAAAAGUAGAAGUUCAUGAACAAGGACAUUUGCAUAUGAGAGUCAAUCACUGGAACUCUGAGUUGUUCGGGAAAGAAAAGUAAAGAAAAAUAUGAAGCAACUGUACCUGAGGCGUUGGUGGGUAAGCGAGUGCACGCAAGAGAGGAUGAGGAGCUUGGAUUCUCUCUGAGUCUUUUGGGAUUCUCUCCGCGGAGUUGAAGGUGCUGCUGCUGUUGCUGCAAGGCAGAGCGCUGUUGUUGCCUCUCUCGGCGUUUAGAAGCAGGAACCCAUGUGCUUUUGACAUGGGUUUGGCAGUCGAAUCCUCGGCUCUUGCAACAAGUUCUACACCGCAUGUAUACACAAUCUUUCCUGGCUUGGUUGCCGCAAUCUUGGCAGCUCAUGCCUCCUCCUCCACUGCUGGACCUCAUCAUCAUGAAGGCUGAUCUCGACGAAGACUCAUCAGAGAAGUUGAUUGAGCUCCUGCCGGGGCCCACCCCUAACCCAGCAGCUGAAGAGUAAAGAUCUUGCUGUGGAUUUUGGUGGCGUUGGUGGAGAAAUUCUUGCUGUUGCCAUAGCUCAAAACCCUUGUAAGGAAUGUCUUCGUUUUUGUACCAGAACCAGCCUUCUUGUGGGAUUUCACUUGGCGGGUUGUUAUGCUGGUCGUCUUGGUUACUUCCCCCACCACCACCUCCUAAUGAGAACAGCCCAGCCAUUGUUCUAAACCUGACCCAAUCCUCAAUUGUGAGAGAAAAUCCAUAUCAGAAGCUACUGGCUCUCUGGGUUUUUUGACUAGUGAAUAGAGCCCUGAAGUGAAAUGUAGUCUUUAGAAAUUCUGGAAUUAUGGGUUUUGAGUGGAAGAGAGAAUUAUUCUUACAAUUUA